UGCGUAGACGAGGAGGUAAGUUAGUUGUGAAAUCCCUCGGCUCAACUGAGGAACUGCGACUAAAACUGCUUUUCUUGAGUGCUGGAGAGGAAAGUGGAAUUCCUAGUGUAGCGGUGAAAUGCGUAGAUAUUAGGAGGAACACCAGUGGCGAAGGCGACUUUCUGGACAGCAACUGACGUUGAGGCACGAAAGUGUGGGGAGCAAACA
rnacentral:rRNA from 1 species